GGGGGAUAUUGCACAAUGGAGGAAACUCUGAUGCAGCGACGCCGCGUGAGGGAAGAAGGUUUUCGGAUUGUAAACCUCUGUCUUCGGGGACGAAACAAAUGACGGUACCUUAGGAGGAAGCCCCGGCUAACUACGUGCCAGCAGCCGCGGUAAUACGUAGGGGGCGAGCGUUGUCCGGAUUUACUGGGCGUAAAGGGUGCGUAGGCGGCCUUGUAAGUCAGAUGUGAAAGGCUACGGCUCAACCGUAGUAAGCAUUUGAAACUGCAGGGCUUGAGUGCAGGAGAGGAGAGUGGAAUUCCUAGUGUAGCGGUGAAAUGCGUAGAUAUUAGGAGGAACACCAGUGGCGAAGGCGACUCUCUGGACUGUAACUGACGCUGAGGCACGAAAGCGUGGGGAGCAAACA
rnacentral:rRNA from 2 species